rnacentral:rRNA from 1 species
UCGCCGAUAGCUGGCGGCGUGCCUAAUACAUGCAGUCGAGCGGAAGAUGGGAGCUUGCUCCCUGAUGUUAGCGGCGGACGGGUGAGUAACACGUGGGUAACCUGCCUGUAAGACUGGGAUAACUCCGGGAAACCGGGGCUAAUACCGGAUGCUUGUUUGAACCGCAUGGUUCAAACAUAAAAGGUGGCUUCGGCUACCACUUACAGAUGGACCCGCGGCGCAUUAGCUAGUUGGUGAGGUAAUGGCUCACCAAGGCAACGAUGCGUAGCCGACCUGAGAGGGUGAUCGGCCACACUGGGACUGAGACACGGCCCAGACUCCUACGGGAGGCAGCAGUAGGGAAUCUUCCGCAAUGGACGAAAGUCUGACGGAGCAACGCCGCGUGAGUGAUGAAGGUUUUCGGAUCGUAAAGCUCUGUUGUUAGGGAAGAACAAGUACCGUUCGAAUAGGGCGGUACCUUGACGGUACCUAACCAGAAAGCCACGGCUAACUACGUGCCAGCAGCCGGUUAAAUA